CUUGGUCAUUUUGAGGGAGUAAAAGUCGUAACAAGGUUUCCGUAGGUGAACCUGCGGGAGGGUCAUUUAAGAAAUUUGAUUGAACCAUAGGCGAAAGCCAGUGGUUCUUCUUUCAUAUCCAUAACACCUGUGCACUGUUGGAUGCUUGCAUCCACUUUUUAACUAAACAUUUUUGUAACAAAAGUAGUCUUUUUUUAACAUAAAAAAACUUUCAACAACGGGUCUCUUGGCUCUCGCAUCGAUGAAGAACGCAGCGAAAAGCGAUAAGUAAAGUGAAAUGCAGAAAUCAGUGAAACAUCGAAACUUUGAACGCACCUUGCGCUCCUUGGUAUUCCGAGGGGCAUGCCUGUUUGAGUGUCAUGAAACCCUCAAACCCAAGUUUUGGGUUUCGAUCCAUGCUUGAGUUUGGGUUUGGGUGUUUGCCGGUGAUGAACCGACUCAUCUUUAAAGUAUUUGCUCGGGUCUGUCUAUAUGACUGGUUUGACUUGGCAUAAAAAGUAUUUUGCUGAGGGCAUCUUCGGGUGGCCAGGGCCUAGACUACUGUCUGCUAACUAAACCAUCACUUUUAGUGCAUCUUUGGGUGUUUCUCAUUGUGUAACUUUGACAUCUGGCCUCAAAACAAGUAGGGCUACCCGCUGAACUUUAGCAUAUCAAAAAGCGGGGGG
rnacentral:rRNA from 1 species